AACGAACGCUGGCGGCAUGCCUAACACAUGCAAGUCGAACGAGACCCCUGACUUCGGUUGGCGGGUCUAGUGGCGCACGGGUGCGUAACGCGUGGGAAUCUGCCCUUGGGUUCGGAAUAACUCAGAGAAAUUUGAGCUAAUACCGGAUGAUGACGAAAGUCCAAAGAUUUAUCGCCCAGGGAUGAGCCCGCGUAAGAUUAGCUUGUUGGUGGGGUAAUGGCCUACCAAGGCGACGAUCUUUAGCUGGUCUGAGAGGAUGAUCAGCCACACUGGGACUCGAGACACGGCCCAGACUCCUACGGGAGGCAGCAGUGGGGAAUAUUGGACAAUGGGCGCAAGCCUGAUCCAGCAAUGCCGCGUGAGUGAUGAAGGCCUUAGGGUUGUAAAGCUCUUUUACCAGGGAUGAUAAUGACAGUACCUGGAGAAUAAGCUCCGGCUAACUCCGUG
rnacentral:rRNA from 1 species